rnacentral:ncRNA from 1 species
AAAAAGUUUUAUUCUUGCUUAGUAAUUUACUAUAAGUUUGUUUUACAUGUCAGUUUUUGCGGGAUUUUCGUUAAUUCUUAAAGGAUCUAAUGAGUUUAUUUAAAUCGCAGUAUUUAAUUUUAUUAAUCAAAGAAAUUUGGAACUAGUAAUAUUUGAUAGUACCGGCAAAAAUCGUGCCAGCCGCCGCGGUUACACGGAGGGUACAAGUAAAUGUUGUUAGUUAAUAGUUAUAUGUCAAUAUUUAAGAAAUUAAUAAUAAAUUUAUUAGGUGAAAUUUUAAAUUUAAAUAAUUUCUUUUAGAAAUCCUAUAGAAGCUAUGAAAUUUAAAUAAUAAACUAGGAUUAGAUACCCUAUUAUUUUAAAUGUAAAAAAAUAAAGGCUUGAGUAGUAAUAGUUAUGUUCUUGAAACUCAAAGAAUUUGGCGGUGUUUUAGUCCUUUCAGAGGAACCUGUCCCGUAAUCGAUAAUCCACGAAUAACCUUACUUAAUUUGGUUUUCAGCUUGUAUACCGCCGUCGUCAGAAUGUCCUUAGAAGGGUUUAAUUUUCUUGAAUUUUUAUUAAAAAUGAUGUCAGGUCAAGGUGCAGUUUAUAAUUAAGUGGUGAUGGGUUACAAUAAAUAUAUUUAUACGGAAGAUAUCUUGAAAUAGGUGUUGGAAGGUGGAUUUGAUGGUAAUUUUAUUAAUUAAGUUAAUUUGAUUUUGGCUCUAAAACAUGCACACAUCGCCCGUCGCUCUCGUUAUUUAAGGCGAGAUAAGUCGUAACAUAGUAGGUGUACCGGAAGGUGCACCUGGAAAGUU